GGUCGAGGUCGCCGACUGGGACGCCGACGGCCUGCCCGGCGCGCCCGGCGACGGCGCGGGCGACGGCGACGACCGGAUCGCCGCCGGGCUCGGCCGC
rnacentral:tRNA from 1 species